rnacentral:rRNA from 1 species
UUGACCUCGGAUCAGGUAGGGAUACCCGCUGAACUUAAGCAUAUCAAUCAGCGGAGGAAAAGAAACCAACAGGGAUUGCCCUAGUAACGGCGAGUGAAGCGGCAAGAGCUCAAAUUUGAAAGCUGGCCCCCUCGGGGCCCGCAUUGUAAUUUGCAGAGGAUGCUUCGGGCGUGGCCCCUGUCUAAGUGCCCUGGAACGGGCCGUCAGAGAGGGUGAGAAUCCCGUAUGGGAUGGGGUGCCCACGCCCGUGUGAAGCUCCUUCGACGAGUCGAGUUGUUUGGGAAUGCAGCUCUAAAUGGGUGGUAAAUUUCAUCUAAAGCUAAAUAUUGGCCGGAGACCGAUAGCGCACAAGUAGAGUGAUCGAAAGAUGAAAAGCACUUUGAAAAGAGAGUUAAAAAGCACGUGAAAUUGUUGAAAGGGAAGCGCUUGCGACCAGACUCGCCCCAGGGGUUCAACCGGCUUUCGGGCCGGUGUACUUCCCCCGGGGCGGGCCAGCGUCGGUUUUGGCGGCCGGUCAAAGGCCCCUGGAAUGUAACGCCUCUCGGGGCGUCUUAUAGCCAGGGGUGCCAUGCGGCCCGCCGGGACCGAGGAACGCGCUUCGGCUCGGACGCUGGCAUAAUGGUCGUAAGCGACC